CACGCAAGUUGUUGCUCGAGUCGAAAAGUUUACUCUUGAAAGAUUUCAUCUACACCAUGAACUUCUCUGUCAAAUUUGUUUGCGUCAUUUUCGCCAUCCUUCUGAUUGGUCUUCUGGCCGUUGACCACGUGUCCGCCAUGCAUAUGGGACAAAGAGGCAACAACGGCGUCAUGGAACUUCUUGUAGCUGGGCUCAUCGCCAAGCUUCUUCAAGAACAACACCACCAUCAUGGUUAAAUCUCAUCAUAAAGCAUAGCCUCAAGUUUAUAAUGUAGUUUAUAGUCAAUUAAAAUAUAUUUGUAUUUGUAACUAUGCAUACGCUCAGCCCUACAAACGCAACAUUCUAUGUAAAUUAACCAAAUGAGCAUUGUACGCAUGGUGCAGAUCCCUUGAAAAUAUUUUGUAAAUCCAAUUGUACAUAUUUUCAUGUGUAUAAUAAAAAUAUAAUUCAUUUCAA